AUCCAUGCAGCUGAACUACAGUGAAAAGAAUUUGUUUUAGGGGAGUUUUCAUGAUACAAGCUAAUAUAUUCAGUUCUUCUAUUGGACUAAUGGUAGUUGGCCAUUUCUACAUCCCAAAAGGAAGAGUUUGGUUUGCAGAGCUUCGCUAAUCUUGAUUAUCAUCAUCAUUAAAUGCUUCAAAGUGAUAUUUACCGACACAAAGGGACAACACCACACCUAUUGAAAAAAAAUAUUGGAGGGGACAUAUCAUUUGACUGAUUGAACAUUAUGAAUAAUGUUGAGACGAUCUGAGUUCUUGCGUGCCAAAUGAAGUGACGUCGAUCCAAACGCACUUGAUCCAUGACCUUAAUGAUGUGAUGACAUGUUAAACACUGUAUAAACAGAGCAUGUAGCAUGGUAGAAAAAGAACAGGGAGCAUUUGACGGCUCGGUCAAAUGUAUGACCAUCAGUUUCAGUAUGAAAACAAGCCGUCGUACUGUUGUAUAGUCAUGCUUUACUUCUGAGGGAGGAGCCUCAGUUAAUAAGCCAUUAAAAAAAACAGCAAAAAGAAAAAA